GACGAACGCUGGCGGCGUGCUUAACACAUGCAAGUCGAACGGAAAGGCCCUGCUUUUGUGGGGUGCUCGAGUGGCGAACGGGUGAGUAACACGUGAGUAACCUGCCCUUGACUUUGGGAUAACUUCAGGAAACUGGGGCUAAUACCGGAUAGGAGCUCCUGCUGCAUGGUGGGGGUUGGAAAGUUUCGGCGGUUGGGGAUGGACUCGCGGCUUAUCAGCUUGUUGGUGGGGUAGUGGCUUACCAAGGCUUUGACGGGUAGCCGGCCUGAGGGGGUGACCGGCCACAUUGGGACUGAGAUACGGCCCAGACUCCUACGGGAGGCAGCAGUGGGGAAUAUUGCACAAUGGGCGGAAGCCUGAUGCAGCAACGCCGCGUGCGGGAUGACGGCCUUCGAGUUGUAAACCGCUUUCGCCUGUGACGAAGCGUGAGUGACGGUAAUGGGUAAAGAAGCACCGGCUAACUACGUG
rnacentral:rRNA from 1 species